CUGGUUUAACCAUUCUAAAGCAAAAAGGGCUUCUGUCGUGAGUGGCACACGUAGGGCAACUCGAUUGCUCUUCGUGCGGAAUCGACAUCAAGAGAUUUCGGAAGCAUAAUUUUUUGGUAUUUGGGCAGCUGGUGAUCGUUGGUCCCGGCGCCCUUGAGUCUGCUGUGCCAACGAAAGAGAGUGGGGGCAAGUUUUUUGUGUUUUAGUCUGUCUGGGAUAUGCAGUACGGUAAAAAAUUAAGGAAAUUAGCGUAAGGAUAACCAAGAAUAGAUGUAGAUGUUGAAGUCAGUUCCAGUAUUUUAGUAGAGUCCUGUUCUUGUCCCUGCGGUUAUUGUGCUUUGGGAGUGCUCUUAGGCGUUCAAGCCGGAGAGUUCAAAGUCAUCCUCAUCACUUGGCUAGACAAGAUUUCAGCAAUUAGGGCUGGGGAUGUGGCUCAAGCGGUAGGCGCGCUCGCCUGGCAUGCGUGCGGCUCGGGUUCGAUCCUCAGUACCACAUACAAACAAAGAUGUUGUGUCCGCCGAAAACUAAAAAGUAAAUAUUAAAAGUUCUCUGUC
rnacentral:lncRNA from 1 species